GGUUCUAUGGCGCAAUUGGCUAGCGCGUCCGGCUGUUAAUUCCCAAUGUUGGGGUUGGCUCACCGGGAGGUCCAAAGUUCGAGUCUUUGUAGUACCG